rnacentral:ncRNA from 1 species
UGGAAAAGCGCCAGGGCAACAUUUUUUGUUGUUGACGAGGUUAGAGUUUAUCGAAAUGUUCGGCGGAUACUCUAUGGCUUGUUACAGUCAUUAGGCAAGAACAAAACCUUAUUGUAAGAUAAGAACAAAAAAU